rnacentral:rRNA from 1 species
CCUACGGGGGGCAGCAGUGAGGAAUAUUGGUCAAUGGUCGGGAGACUGAACCAGCCAAGCCGCGUGAGGGAGGAAGGUACAGAGUAUCGUAAACCUCUUUUGUCAGGGAACAAAGACUGGGACGCGUCCCCGGAUGAGUGUACCUGAAGAAAAAGCAUCGGCUAACUCCGUGCCAGCAGCCGCGGUAAGACGGAGGAUGCGAGCGUUAUCCGGAUUUAUUGGGUUGAAAGGGUGCGCAGGGUGGCGGUUAAGUCAGCGGUCAAAGCCCGGGGCUCAACCCCGGCCCGCCGUUGAGACUGGCAGUCUCGAGUUGGAGAGAAGUAUGCGGAAUGCGGGGUGUAGCGGUGAAAUGCAUAGAUAUCGCGCAGAACUCCGAUUGCGAAGGCAGCAUGCCGGCUCCACACUGACGCUGAGGCACGAAAGCGUGGGUAUCGAACAGGAUUAGAUACCCCAGUAGUC